UGCAAGUCGAGGGGUAACGAUGGCUUCGGCCAGGCGACGACCGGCGCACGGGUGCGUAACACGUAUGCAACCUACCUUCAACUGGGGAAUAGCCCCGAGAAAUCGGGAUUAAUACCCCAUAAUGUUUAUCAUUCGCAUGUUCGAUAAAUUAAAACUCCGGUGGUUGAAGAUGGGCAUGCGCGACAUUAGUUAGUUGGUGAGGUAACGGCUCACCAAGACCGCGAUGUCUAGGGGUUCUGAGAGGACUAUCCCCCACACUGGUACUGAGACACGGACCAGACUCCUACGGGAGGCAGCAGUAAGGAAUAUUGGUCAAUGGACGAAAGUCUGAACCAGCCAUGCCGCGUGCAGGAUGACAGCCCUAUGGGUUGUAAACUGCUUUUAUAUAGGAAGAAACUCAUGCUCGUGAGCGUGACUGACGGUACUAUAUGAAUAAGGACCGGCUAACUCCGUGCCAGCAGCCGCGGUAAUACGGAGGGUCCAAGCGUUAUCCGGAUUCAUUGGGUUUAAAGGGUGCGCAGGCGGACCGAUAAGUCAGUGGUGAAAUCCUACAGCUCAACUGUAGAACUGCCAUUGAUACUGUCGAUCUUGAGUAUAGUUGAAGUGGGCGGAAUGUAUCAUGUAGCGGUGAAAUGCAUAGAUAUGAUACAGAACUCCGAUAGCGAAGGCAGCUCACUAACCUAUAACUGACGCUCAGGCACGAAAGCGUGGGGAGCAAAACAGGAUUAGAUACCCUGGUAGUCCACGCCGUAAACGAUGAUCACUCGUUGUUGGCAGUACAUCGUCAGCGACUGAACGAA
rnacentral:rRNA from 1 species